rnacentral:rRNA from 1 species
UCGAUUCCCUUAGUAGCGGCGAGCGAAACGGGAAGAGCCCAAACCAACAAGCUUGCUUGUUGGGGUUGUAGGACACUCUAUACGGAGUUACAAAGGACGACAUUAGACGAAUCAUCUGGAAAGAUGAAUCAAAGAAGGUAAUAAUCCUGUAGUCGAAAAUGUUGUCUCUCUUGAGUGGAUCCUGAGUACGACGGAGCACGUGAAAUUCCGUCGGAAUCUGGGAGGACCAUCUCCUAAGGCUAAAUACUCUCUAGUGACCGAUAGUGAACCAGUACCGUGAGGGAAAGGUGAAAAGCACCCCGGAAGGGGAGUGAAAUAGAACCUGAAACCGUGUGCUUACAAGUAGUCAGAGCCCGUUAAUGGGUGAUGGCGUGCCUUUUGUAGAAUGAACCGGCGAGUUACGAUUUGAUGCAAGGUUAAGCAGUAAAUGUGGAGCCGUAGCGAAAGCGAGUCUGAAUAGGGCGUUUAGUAUUUGGUCGUAGACCCGAAACCAGGUGAUCUACCCUUGGUCAGGUUGAAGUUCAGGUAACACUGAAUGGAGGACCGAACCGACUUACGUUGAAAAGUGAGCGGAUGAACUGAGGGUAGCGGAGAAAUUCCA